rnacentral:misc_RNA from 1 species
AGCAGCCGAUUAGAUCGCUUGCGUCGCCCUGUGAUUCUUGAGGUGGAUUUCACGCUGUCCAUCGUCUGCUUUCAUUCACCAUAUUUUUAUAUCCUCUCACCAGGCAUCGAUUCGUGAGCGUCUACCCCGUACUGUGGAGGCCACACACACGCACACGCAUAUAGCCUCACGGCUUUUCGGCGAAGGAGCACCCCUCCACCUUCCUCCUCUCUCCCCCUGACGGCAGAAACCCACCCACACGUACCCACAAAUAGCCGCCCACACUCCUGAGUUGCGCAGGUCGGCAUAGAGGACUGAAAUUCUCCGGGAAGUCGCCGUGCCCCCCCCCCCUCCCAUUCAUCUUUUGCCUUGACUUCUCUGAUUUUUUUCUACGUUCUCUUUUUUCCUCUCCUUCUGUGCUCGCGCGCGUGCCGGGCCUUCUCCCCUCUUUUUUUUGUUUUGUCAGCGCGGCGACCUCAGUCAACCGACCGGCAUUAGAUCGAGGAAGAGGGAGAAAGUGACUCUCGUGCAGGCACAGAGAUAGCACCGCCUGUGUGUCUGUCGCUUGCCUCCUCUCGUCCGUGUUAGGUUUCACCUUGCCCUUUUUCGUGGUGGUAGUAAGGGCCAAGAUCAGUGCGAGCUUCAGCGCUUCCUGAGACCAUGCCAACCCAUUUCUCUUCCUCGAAGCUUGCGUCGCAGGCGGCGGCCGCGUCUCUCUUGGUGGACGACGAUGCGCCGUAUCACGACUCCCGCCCCAUAGCGCGUCUUCCCCUCGACGACGACGGCACGGCGGUAUUGCCGCUUCCGCAGGCAGUACAAUACGCCACGGAGUCGGACUCAGUUUCCCUUCUGCUCUCCUCUGAUGCGGAGGAGAAACCUUCUAACGAAACCGGGAAGGAGGCAACGUGGAUGGAGCUGCGGAAAAGCAGCCACUCAACGCAGCCGGCGAACCACUCCGGCACGCACACUUCCUACCACGAUUCACAUCACGGCACUCGUCGGAGCAGUGCAAGUCGGGCUGACGGCGGCAGCCCCCAUGAUCCACGUACGCCGCUCACGCAUUGCACCUCCAGUGUCGAUAAGCGGCAUAUCGAGCGCCUCGCGCGGCCGAGAGGUGCGCAGGGCUCUGUGAUCAGGCCCGCGGAGCCGAACUACGGCCGCCUGCUGAACUUUACAGAGGAGGAGGAGCAAGAAAAAGGGCGAGCGCAACAGCACUGCCGCAAGUCACCGCGCACCCGACCGAGCCCGAUUACUCCCAGCCUAGAGCAGACCCAGCCGACGGGAAGUCGACCUCCGCCUUCUCGUCCGGAGAGCAACCACCACACUGCGGUGGCCAAUGUUGCCCUGCCAGCCUCACAGAAGGCGUGCUACGAGAAGCUCGCGGCACCGAAGAAAUGCCCCGCUGCAUCCGCGGUCGACGGCGGUGCGCCACCGUCUCGGACUUCUUCGACGGCCGACGGCGGUACACCGGCGUCUCUCACUUCCUCGACGGCGGCCGCGCCACGCAGAGACAGCAGCAAAACUUUCGACCGCCUAGCCGUACCGAAGAAGCCGGUCGCCGCCCGUUGUGAGGAGGCGGUGCCACUACUAGAGCGGCGGCUUCGUUCUCACUCAUUGUAUGCGCGCGUUCUUACGCCGCCGCAGCACGACCUGUACCUGCAGUGCCUUUCACGGCCAAAGAACCGGAGUGCGUCGUCUCACCGCGACCCGUGCGCACCGGUAGAGCCCAACCUGCACAUCCCGCAGAAGCGUUACUAUGGCGGCACCACUGUUAUAUCGGUCUCACCUGGCACACCCACUUCUACUGGACUGCCGCUGCCGUCACCCCACGCCGGCGGACGUCGCAAUAGUCGCGUGCCGAGCGCUUCGUGGGAGGCGGUGGCCAGCUACGCGGAGCGACGCCCAUCGUCAAAGGCCUCCUGCUUCCUGCCACCUAGCUCGUGCGCCGAAUGCGGGACUGCACUCCCGCAGCAGACGUACACGGUGCCGUCACAACCCACCCUCUCCAGCGCGGCGGCACUGCACGAGGUUAUGGUUGAGCAGGUGGGGGUGAUACCGCACCAGCCUCUUCCCGCGGCUCCUGCCGCGAAUGGCGAUGGACUGAUGCAGGUGCAGUCGGCCCCAGCGAAGAUUACUGGCUCGAAGCCCCCGAUCGUGGUGCGUACUCGCCGGUACGUGCCUCCGUCGGAAGAGCAGGAUGCCGAGGCUGCCGGCCAGUCGGCGUCCCGCGCAGCGAAGCAGGAGAGCCCCGCAGCCCCCGCGCCGGAACCGGUUGAGGCGGUGCGGCGACGUACUGCAAUACCGACUGUGCCGACUGAAACGACAACGACGCCCGCACUGGAGAAGGAGAAGCCAAAAAUGGCAGAUACCACCCCCCCGGAGACGCCGGCACGCGCCAUGCCGGCUCCUGUCGCGGUGCAGGCCAUCAAGCGAGCGCCGCCGCUGCUGCCGUCGGUGCCGGUCGAAGUAAGUGCCCCGAAAGGGGUGGUUCAAACAACCAAGCGAGUGCCUCCUGCGCCUGCUGCCACUGCAGUCACUCCAGCUCCACAGAGACCUAUCACGUUGGAGACCUCCAAAAGACAGACCCCUGCUCCAUGCUCGGCACCAGUAGCACCAGGACCCUCGCGCCUGGAAGCUCCACCUCAGCCAGCGCAGGUGGAAUCUGCACACAUCCAUCCUUCUCCCUCCUCGGUAUCAGUUUCUGCUUUGCCGUCAGACAAGGUGGCCACUGCGACACCGCAGGCGGUAGCCGUAGCAGAAAACGGCACUGUUGACGCUGCCUCAGCCUCCGCAAUGGAGGAUGUGCACGCCAUUCCGACGCCGCCUUCCAGCGACAAGAAAAAACUUCGCAAGAUCACGCACAGAAAACCGAACAGUGCCAAGCCGGAGGUGCUUCGGGACGCGGACUUCGCGUGCCAACUGGAGGUCUUGCCGGGGACGCGCCAUGCUGUGAGUAUCAAGAAGCCAUAUACGUUGGCAAAGCCAACGGUGAAGGCACUGUCUCCAAAGUCACGCUGGGCUCACUGAUGUCGAGGCAGGGGCGUUGAGGAAGACAGUACCCUUGGCGCUCAAAGAGGCUUUCCUUCCCUUGCAUGUGCGUGCCUCUGUGUGCUCUUUCCCAUCUUGUCGGUCGCUCUGUGCCGUCCUUCAGAAAAGACGUGUUUGUAUCUGCCGUCACUUCAUUUGUACCGUAACGAAAUCAAGGAAAACGAGGCAACGCCACACCGUGCCUCACAGCCUUGUGUGCUGGCGUACUCGUUUUCCUUUUUCGCUCUGCAUCGACCAUCUCAACGCGCGCGCACGGACAAAAAAAAUGCACGGACACACAAACACACACACACACACACGGAGACUAAUACCUUCACACAGACACAAAACGGUGACAGUGCCAUCCCUGCCACAACAGCGGCAGUCGAGCAAG